CACGAAGUUAGCCGGGGCUUCUUCUGCGGGUACCGUCAUCAUCGUCCCCGCCGAAAGGGCUUUACAACCCGAAGGCCUUCACCACCCACGCGGCAUUGCUGGAUCAGGGUUGCCCCCAUUGUCCAAUAUUCCCCACUGCUGCCUCCCGUAGGAGUCUGGGCCGUGUCUCAGUCCCAGUGUGGCUGAUCAUCCUCUCAGACCAGCUACCGAUCGAAGCCUUGGUGAGCCGUUACCUCACCAACUAGCUAAUCGGACGCGGGCCCCUCCUAAGGCGAUAAAUCUUUCCCCCUCAGGGGACAUACGGUAUUAGCAGCAGUUUCCCGCUGUUAUUCCGUACCUCAGGGCAGGUUCCCACGCGCUACUCACCCGUGCGCCACUAUGGCCGAAGCCAUCGUUCGACUUGCAUGUGUUAGGCAUGCCGCCAGCGUUCGUUCUGAGCAGGAUCAAACUCU
rnacentral:rRNA from 1 species